AAGGCCCUGCUUGCAGGGUACUCGAGUGGCGAACGGGUGAGUAACACGUGGGUGAUCUGCCCUGCACUUCGGGAUAAGCCUGGGAAACUGGGUCUAAUACCGGGUAGGAGCCAUUUUUAGUGUGAUGGUUGGAAAGUUUUUUUGGUGUAGGAUGAGCUCGCGGCCUAUCAGCUUGUUGGUGGGGUAAUGGCCUACCAAGGCGGCGACGGGUAGCCGGCCUGAGAGGGUGGACGGCCACAUUGGGACUGAGAUACGGCCCAGACUCCUACGGGAGGCAGCAGUGGGGAAUAUUGCACAAUGGGCGCAAGCCUGAUGCAGCGACGCCGCGUGGGGGAUGACGGCCUUCGGGUUGUAAACUCCUUUCGCUAGGGAC
rnacentral:rRNA from 1 species